GUCUGACGAAUAGAUUGUAAUCGGGGACUGGGGACGGGGCAAAGUAUUUGAAAAUCUGAAGACUGAAGUUUCAAAAUCAACAGAUGAAGGGCUUACGCCCGAAACAUUGACCCUCCUGCUCCUCGGAUGAUGCAUGACCUGCUGUGCUUUUCCAGCGCGACAUUGUUUGACUGACUGUCCAGCGACUGCAGUCCUCACUUUGAUGUCAAUGUCUGACAGUCACUAAAUCCAUCGGGACCGCAACAAUUUUUAACUGUGAUCUCUGUGAAUGGGAUCAACGCUUUUUGGUUCCUGUUUGAGGACGUUUUCAGCAUCAGUGGGACUGGACGAGUGACCCCACUGUUGCAGCGCACUGGGCGUGGAGCCUGAAACAGUUAUACGGCCUGGAAAUGGGAUUUCACGGCAGGGAGGGCUCUACACAUAUUUGUGUGCAGCUGAAGCUGUGGCCAUGGAGAAACCUGAGGAAUCCCACCCUGUGGAGGAACCGUGGAAGUGUGGCGACUGUGGGAAAGGCUUCCGUGUCCCGUCUGCCCUGGAGACCCAUCGGCUCAGUCACACCGGGGAGAGGCCAUUCCCCUGCACCGACUGCGGGAAGGCCUUCAGACAUUCCUCCCACCUAUUGGCCCACCAGCUGGUCCACACGGGGGAAAGGCCCUUCAGCUGCCCGAAGUGCGGGAAGGCCUUACCCAGGUCGCCACCCUGCUGAGGCACCAGCGAAUCCACACGGGGGAGAGGCCGUUCACCUGCUCUCAGUGCGGGAAGGGCUUCACCUACUCCUCCCACCUGCGGAAGCACCAGCGAGUUCACGUGCCAUCGCAGGGGGAUUGAAGGAGUGACGGCUGAGUGCCAAUAUCAAUUGGACUAUCAACCCGGUUCCGGGGACUCCCGGGCUCGAAUCCCACCACGACAGAUGGCAGAAUUGGUAUUCGGUCAGAAAUGUGGAGUUCGGAAUCUAACGAUGAGACCGUUUCAGGGAGGGGGUUGGGGGAGGGGGAGGUGGAGAAAGCCCCCAUCUCUCUCCCUUGUUAGGGAAGGGAACCGCAAUUGUGGGAAAGGAUUCACUCAGUCGUUCCAGCUGCACCCUUGACCUAGUCUGGCCUACACUUGACUCCAGACCCACAGCAGUCUGGUUGACUCUACACUGCCCUCCCCCCACUGGCAAAUGAGCGGGGAGAAACUUAGUUGGACACAGGGUAAGGGUUGAAAUUGCUGAGUGAGGCAAUACUUCCUCCGGGUGACGGCUGUACCAAGGAUCCGAUUACAAAGGGACAACUUGGUGCUGCCCAAUAGUAAAGACAGUGAGGGGGGUGGGACAGGGGAGGUGUGGUGUGUGCACUUUCACCUUGACAUGUUCAAAAAGCAACUACUUUUUCUCUGCCUUUUUGCUGGGGGGAUCUGAAGUUGUACCAAAGUUUGGGUUGCAAUAAAGGUUACCUGAACUUAA